rnacentral:tRNA from 1 species
GCCCUAGUAGCUCAGCGCCAGAGCGCCGGUCUUGUAAUCCGGAAGUCGGAGGUUAAAACCCUCCCUAGUGCUCAGAGAGAGGAGAUUUUAACUCCCACCCUUAACUCCCAAAGCUAAGAUUCUAAGUUAAAC